GCAGGCGGUCCUUUAAGUNUGAUGUGAAAGCCCACGGCUCAACCGUGGAGGGUCAUUGAAACUGGGGACUUUGAGGUGCAGAAGGAAGGAAAGAGAUUCCACGUGUAGCGGUGAAAUGCGUAGAGAUGUGGAGGAACACCAGUGGCGAAGGCGACUUUUUGGUUUGUAACUGACGCUGAGGCGCGAAAGNGUGGGGAGCAAACAGGAUUAGAUACCCUGGUAGUCCACGCCGUAAACGAUGAGUGCUAAGUGUUAGAGGGUUUCCGCCCUUUAGUGCUGCAGCAAACGCAUUAAGCACUUCGCCUGGGGAGUACGGCCGCAAGGGUGAAACUUAAAGGAAUUGACGGGGGCCCGCACCAGCGGUGGAGCAUGUGGUUUAAUUUGAAGCAACGCGAAGAACCUUACCCGGUCUUGACAUCCUUUGACAAUUCUAGAGAUAGGACGUUUCCCUUYUGGGGACAGAGUGACAGGUGGUGCAUGGUUGUUGUCAGCUUGUGUUGUGAGAUGUUGGGUUAAGUCCCGCAACGAGCGCAACCCUUGAUUUUAGUUGCCAGCCUUAARUUGGGCACUUUAAGGUGACUGCCGGUGACAAACCGGAGGAAGGUGGGGAAGACGUCAAAUCAUCAUGCCCCUUAUGACCUGGGGUACACACGUGGUACAAUGGAUGGUACAAAGGGCAGCAAAACCGCGAGGUYGAGCAAAUUCCAUAAAACCCUUUUCAGUUUGGAUUGUAGGGUGCAACUUGCCUACCUGAAGCUGGAAUCGCUAGUAAUCGCGGAUCAGCCUGCCGCGGUGAAUACGUUCCCGGGCCUUGUACA
rnacentral:rRNA from 1 species